UCAGACGGAGCGGAGGACGCCGGCCGUCUUU
rnacentral:sRNA from 1 species